rnacentral:rRNA from 1 species
UAAGGCCCUUCGGGGUACACGAGCGGCGAACGGGUGAGUAACACGUGGGUGAUCUGCCUUGCACUCUGGGAUAAGCCUGGGAAACUGGGUCUAAUACCGGAUAUGAGCCUGGACUGCAUGGUCUGGGUUGGAAAGGUUUACUGGUGCGAGAUGGGCCCGCGGCCUAUCAGCUUGUUGGUGGGGUAACGGCCUACCAAGGCGACGACGGGUAGCCGACCUGAGAGGGUGACCGGCCACACUGGGACUGAGACACGGCCCAGACUCCUACGGGAGGCAGCAGUGGGGAAUAUUGCACAAUGGGCGAAAGCCUGAUGCAGCGACGCCGCGUGAGGGAUGACGGCCUUCGGGUUGUAAACCUCUUUUGACAGGGACGAAGCGCAAGUGACGGUACCUGUAGAAGAAGCACCGGCCAACUACGUGCCAGCAGCCGCGGUAAUACGUAGGGUGCGAGCGUUGUCCGGAAUUACUGGGCGUAAAGAGCUUGUAGGCGGUCUGUCACGUCGAUUGUGAAAACUUGCAGCUCAACUGCAAGCUUGCAGUCGAUACGGGCAGACUAGAGUACUUCAGGGGAGACUGGAAUUCCUGGUGUAGCGGUGAAAUGCGCAGAUAUCAGGAGGAACACCGGUGGCGAAGGCGGGUCUCUGGGAAGUAACUGACGCUGAGAAGCGAAAGCGUGGGUAGCGAACAGGAUUAGAUACCCUGGUAGUCCACGCCGUAAACGGUGGGUACUAGGUGUGGGUUUCCUUCCACGGGAUCCGUGCCGUAGCUAACGCAUUAAGUACCCC